rnacentral:rRNA from 1 species
UGCCAGCACUGGACGGAUCGAGUCUUUUUCGCUGGGGAAGCGUGGUGCUCUUCACUGGGUGCUGCGGGGAACCAGGACGAUUACCUUGAGAAAAAUAGAGUGUUCAAGGCAGGCAUGCAUUGCUUGAAUACGGUAGCAUGGAAUAAUGAAAUAGGACGCUGGUUCUAUUUUGUUGGUUUGAGGACCAAUGUCAUGGUGAAUAGGGACAGUUGGGGGCAUUAGUAUUCCGGCGUCAGAGGUGAAAUUCUUGGAUUGCCGGAAGACUCACUAGUGCGAAAGCAUUUGCCAAGGAUGUUUUCAUUAAUCAAGAACGAAAGUCAGAGUAUCAAAGACGAUCAGAUACCGUCGUAGUUUUGACCAUAAACGAUGCCGACUAGGGAUCGGUGGAAGUCAUAUGAGACUCCAUCGGCACCUUGAGAGAAAUCAAAGUUUUUGGGUUCAGGGGGGAGUAUUGUCGCAAGGCAGAAACUUAAAGGAAUUGACGGAAGGUCACACCAGGAGUGGAGCCUGCGGCUUAAUUUGACUCAACACGGGAAAACUCACCAGGGCAGGACAUGCUAUGGAUUGUCAGAUUGAGAGCUCUUACAUGAUUGCAUUUUUGGUGGUGCAUGGCCGUUCUUAGUUGGUGGAGUGAUUUGUCUGCUUAAUUGCGAUAACGAACGAGACCUCAGCCUGCUAACUAGACGCCCUGUCUCUCGGGACGGGGUGCGCUUCUUAGAGGGACUGCCUA